CCUACGGGAGGCAGCAGUGAGGAAUAUUGGUCAAUGGGCGCGAGCCUGAACCAGCCAAGUAGCGUGAAGGAUGACUGCCCUACGGGUUGUAAACUGCUUUUGUACGAGGGUAAACGCAGAUACGCGUAUCUGUCUGAAAGUAUCGUACGAAUAAGGAUCGGCUAACUCCGUGCCAGCAGCCGCGGUAAUACGGAGGAUUCAAGCGUUCUCCGGAUUUAUUGGGUGUAAAGGGAGCGUAGACGGUUAUGUAAGUCUGGAGUGAAAGCCCGGGGCCCAACCCCGGGACUGCUUUGGAAACUGUGUAACUGGAGUACAGGAGGGGCAGGCGGAAUUCCUGGUGUAGCGGUGAAAUGCUUAGAUAUCACGAAGAACUCCGAUUGCGAAGGCAGCCUACUAAACUGCCACUGACAUUGAUGCUCGAAAGUGUGGGUAUCAAACAGGAUUAGAUACCCCAGUAGUC
rnacentral:rRNA from 1 species